AGUGAACGCUGGCGGUAGGCCUAACACAUGCAAGUCGAACGGCAGCACAGUAAGAGCUUGCUCUUACGGGUGGCGAGUGGCGGACGGGUGAGGAAUACAUCGGAAUCUACUUUUUCGUGGGGGAUAACGUAGGGAAACUUACGCUAAUACCGCAUACGACCUACGGGUGAAAGCAGGGGAUCUUCGGACCUUGCGCGAUUGAAUGAGCCGAUGUCGGAUUAGCUAGUUGGCGGGGUAAAGGCCCACCAAGGCGACGAUCCGUAGCUGGUCUGAGAGGAUGAUCAGCUACACUGGAACUGAGACACGGUCCAGACUCCUACGGGAGGCAGCAGUGGGGAAUAUUGGACAAAGGGCGCAAGCCUGAUCCAGCCAUACUGCGUGGGUGAAGAAGGCCUUCGGGUUGUAAAGCCCUUUUGUUGGGAAAGAAAAGCAGCAGGUUAAUACCCCGCUGUUCUGACGGUACCCAAAGAAUAAGCACCGGCUAACUUCGUG
rnacentral:rRNA from 1 species